rnacentral:snRNA from 1 species
UGGUCGAUGGAACAAUGUA